rnacentral:rRNA from 1 species
GACGAACGCUGGCGGCGUGCUUAACACAUGCAAGUCGAACGGAAAGGCCCUGCUUGCAGGGUGCUCGAGUGGCGAACGGGUGAGUAACACGUGGGUGAUCUGCCCCUUACUUUGGGAUAAGCCUGGGAAACUGGGUCUAAUACUGGAUAGGACCAUGCUGUAGGUGGUGUGGUGGAAAGAUUAGUUUCGGUAAGGGAUGAGCUCGCGGCCUAUCAGCUUGUUGGUGGGGUAAUGGCCUACCAAGGCGUCGACGGGUAGCCGGCCUGAGAGGGUGGACGGCCACAUUGGGACUGAGAUACGGCCCAGACUCCUACGGGAGGCAGCAGUGGGGAAUAUUGCACAAUGGGCGCAAGCCUGAUGCAGCGACGCCGCGUGGGGGAUGACGGCCUUCGGGUUGUAAACUCCUUUCAGCCAUGACGAAGCCCUUAUGGUGACGGUAGUGGUAGAAGAAGCACCGGCUAACUACGUG